GUCAACCACUCGCCAAUAAAUUGACGGGCAUGUAAUGUGCCCUGGUUGACCAGAUCCCCGAUUAGGAGCUUUGGAAAAUCGGGAAACGAUAGGAACGAAUUUCAUAGUUACCCUGAAAUGCCGCCUCAGUUUCAGGCUCUAAGGAUGCCGGUUAAACAGUCCUGGGAGGUAGGGACAGUGCUUGCAUCAUACAAACCGUUCCAUAUCAGAUCGAGAGGAAGCCGGA
rfam:Methanosarcina sp. MTP4, complete genome.